UUUCAGGACCUCUGAAGCCGCUCCACUUUGCCACAGAGAACUUACAACGACAAAUAGACACUAUUAACGCAAACUCUGAGGCACUGAAAGCCAGUUUCAUCAAGGAUAAGAUGGAGCAUGACCAAGAUGUAAAAAGAUUGAUAGUUACCAUUAAAAACACGAAAAACGAUGUCCAGUCACACAUUCUAAAGCACGAUAAGGAUGUAUUGGAGCUUUGGACUGAGACCAACAAUACCAAGAGAGAUGUCCAGGCACACAUUCUAAAGCACGAUAAGGAUGUAUUGGAGCUUUGGACUGAGACCAACAAUACCAAGACAGAUGUCCAGGCACAAAUUGGCAAGCACGAAAAGGACAUAGCAGAACUGCGGGCUGCCAUUGCUACCACGCCAUAAGUAAAGUUUGAAAAUUGCCGGCGAGUUUUCUAUGGGAUUUACGGCACAAAUUGAUAAAAACCUGCGAGUGCGCUAGCACGAGAAAUUUGAAAUGCAUUUAUACCAGAUCUCACUGGCAAAUCAAUACCUUUAAUGUAAAACAAGUAGUUGUAGAGGGUCAUUGUAUAACUGUCAUCAGCUUAUCAACAUCAAAAGGCAACAUUGAGAGGUUGACUGUGUGCGAAUAAAACUAGGCUUCUUGCUUUGUUGAAAUUCUAGUCAUUUCUGCCAGCCAAAAAUAUGAACCUAUUCAGUUAAAGGAAAAGGUUAGGGAAAGGUCAUUAUUUGUCGGGGGUGGGGGGUUGCUAAGCUGAUAUUUUUUUUGAUUAAAAAAUUUCGAGCCACCCCCCAAUCUAAAGCCAAAAAUGAUGACUGUAAUGUCGUUACCAUAGUAACGCAUCAUUUAGUUUUGGAUCAAACAUGUAACUAGGAAGUUAGUUGACAGCUGACCGUUGGACGGCACUGAAGAAAAACUACUUGUCUAAGUCAUCGACUCAGUCCUUAUUCAAGACAACAUCUUUACAUUGGCAACGAGGAUGGAAUCAAGAUCACAAGAAACUCGUCCUUCAUCAAGAGUGUACCUGUACCUGCUGAAAUCCAAGAUGAUGCCCCCGAUCAAGAGCCACCUAACCCGGUAGAUGUUACCCCUCCGCGGCGUUUCCCGCAACGCGCACGAUCACACCCGCACAAGUUAGAUGACUACGUUUGCGACAAGUAAUCUCCCUAACAAACUUUCUUAGAACUGUUUACGUCUUUUAACUUUAUUUGUUCUUAGAGCUAAUGAUAGAUUAAAGGACUAUCAUCCCA